rnacentral:lncRNA from 1 species
UAUCAUCCCACAACUCAGAGAACGGAUGUGGGGCUGGGCCAGUAUCAAGACUGCCGGCAGCUCUACAGCCAGGGACCAGACAGUCAACCACAGUGGCUAGAACCCAGUGAGUGGCCCUGUGAGUCAGCCAGGGUGAGGACUGCAGCUAUUACCCAGCCUCCACAUGCCUCUGGUCUAAGACGGUCCCCAUAUGAGACUCUGGGUUUCUCAGGAUCGACGUGAGCUCAGAGCCUAGAUCCUGUGAUCCUGGAAAUCGUACUGUACCCAUUUGCUACAGGCUGCAAGGACUUUUGGGGGACCCAGCUUUCCUUCCAUCGGUGGUUUCUGGGUCUGAAACUGGUCUUGAGUGUGGAACCUGGAGAAGCAGUCAUUGCUUUUCACAAUUGUGGCCGUCCCCGGAGGCUCCAUUCUUUGUGUCUUUUAAUUGCACAGACCAGGAAGUGAGUGCCCCCGUGACUAUGCAUCCAUUUUGCCCUUAAAAGUGCUGGGCCCUCUCUGCUGUCUCCCUCACUCUCUGCCACUCUGUCUUGGCAAUAAUUCUGACCCUCUGGCUCUGACAGCUGGGCAUGCCGUGGGCCUCUGCAGUUCUGGAGUCCACCAGGCAGCACGACAGAGCCUGAUUCUAGAGCGGCAUCUCCUACUGUCUGCUGCUGCCCUGCUUCUUGGUGAUGCCGGCGAGCCUUUGCCAUGCCAUCCUUACUAAUUUGGCAAAUGGUGCCCUUCAGCCCCGCGCAGGACCUAGUCCCAGCAGGGGGUUUCCAGGUUCAUACAGCACAUCCUCUGCAGUGGGGCCCCUCUCUGAGCCCUGCAGCCCUCCUCCUACCGGUGGCCUCACUUAGUGAGGGCAGGAGCCACCCUCCCAGGAGGGCAGUGCCAAAGCAGAGCACUCGCCCCUAUCCAAACGCAUUUCCACUCCCUUCGACUCGGCACCUCGGAAUCUAGCCCCACUGGUGUUCUAGAGAACCUGUGGCUCCUCAGGGGACAUGGCCCUGCCGUUUGUCACAGGGCCCAGCGUGCCCUGACUCGGCUGUGGAGCACCUGACCUCUAGUGAUUGGUCUUCCAGUGUUACCCCUUCCAUCCAGUUUCCCUCCCCAUCCUCUUAUGCUUCCUGACAGAUCGUCACACUGUUUAGGACGUUCCUGUCUACUAGUGCACCAGGCAUAAGGGUUGAAUAGUGAUCCCCCAGAUUCACACCCACUGGAACCUCAGGGUGUGAUCCUACUGGGAAAUAGAGUCCUUGCAUGUAUGAUUAAAUGCAGUCGUACCAGAUUAGGUGGGCCCUCAGUCCAACGGCUGUUGACCUUACCAGAGAGGAGAGGACACAGAAGACAAGAGGCACACAAAGCAAGAGGGUCCCCAAGUUCCAUGGUCACUUGUUACGAGCACCACAAGGAAUGAGAGCUUAGUACCAGUCAGUCAUUGCUGGAGGACAUUCUUUCUUUCUAUGUGAUACUGGGGGUAGACUCGGGGCCUCACACAGGCUGGUUGCAUUAGUCAGAUUUUUGUCACUAUGACAAAUUAUCUGAGAAAACCAAAUCAAAGGAGAAAAGAUGUAUUUUAGCUCAUAGUUUAAGAGGUUUGCGCCCAUGGUCAGCUGGCUCCAUGGCUGUAGAGACAGGGGGAGAGGGA